UGGGGAAUUUUGGACAAUGGGGGAAACCCUGAUCCAGCCAUCCCGCGUGUGCGAUGAAGGCCUUCGGGUUGUAAAGCACUUUUGGCAGGAAAGAAACGUCAUGGGUUAAUACCCCGUGAAACUGACGGUACCUGCAGAAUAAGCACCGGCUAACUACGUGCCAGCAGCCGCGGUAAUACGUAGGGUGCAAGCGUUAAUCGUAAUUACUGGGCGUAAAGCGUGCGCAGGCGGUUCGGAAAGAAAGAUGUGAAAUCCCAGAGCCCAACUUUGGAACUGCAUUUUUAACUACCGGGCUAGAGUGUGUCAGAGGGAGGUGGAAUUCCGCGUGUAGCAGUGAAAUGCGUAGAUAUGCGGAGGAACACCGAUGGCGAAGGCAGCCUCCUGGGAUAACACUGACGCUCAUGCACGAAAGCGUGGGGAGCAAACAGG
rnacentral:rRNA from 1 species